ACUGCUUUAGGAAAUUGAAGUCCGGGUACUGAUCUUCAAAUCCUAUAAGUAUAAAAAAAAUCGGUGAUCCAUGACCCGUAAGGUCCCCUUGUUAGACAAGUCAGGUCAAAUCCAAAUUUGGCCAAUCCAAUGUAAAAUUGCCAACAUUUCCGGUAGUAUGCCCGAAAUUAUCGGUAUUUAUCGAGGAAAACGUAAACCUUUUAGUGCUUUUGAGUUUUUUAAAGACUUUAUUGAUGAAGUGAAUUUAGUGAUCACAGAGGGGGGAAUAAUGUUUGAAGGUAAUAGAUUAUCUAUUGUUCUCAGAUGCUUCAUAGCCGAUGCUCCAGCCCGAGCAUUUGUUCUAAAUCACAAAGGUCAUACAUCUUUCCAUCCAUGUUCGAAAUGUAAAGUGUCCGGCGAAUUUUAUGAGCGACGACCUGUAUUUCUCGGAAUUGAUCAUAUUGUUCGUACAGAUGAAGAAUAUGCUAAACGACAGGAUAAAGAUCAUUAUAAACAAGGAAACUCUCCACUAUCACACCUUCCAAUUGAUUGGAUAAAAUGAAACGAACAAUGCGAAAUAUAAAGCAGCCAACGCGUUUUGCAGAUAUGGUUCCAUUUGACACCUCCUCAUCUGAGAACGAGCCACCUAUCAGUCGAAGGCGUUUGUUCAAUGAUUCAGGAUCUAUUAAAGAUGAUAUUGAACAACUCAAAUCAACAUUGACUACUCGUUCUAAAAAAGAACGACCGAAACAAGAUAAACAUGUCCAAAACACAUUCACGUCAAAACACUCUUUCUCACAACCUUUACUAAAAAAGAAUACCUUCUUUCAUAAGAAAUUUCCUUUAACUAAUAAAUCAUUUUCACAAGAGAACCAUUCUCUAAUUCCACAUUCUCCAUCUGUCUGUGCUGUUAAUGUAGAGUCACGCAAUAAACGCUCUGUGCAUCCACAUUCAUCACCAAAUCGUACUACCCACGUAUACAGGAACUGCUCUGUAACUCCGCAGUCUCCAUCUAGCAAUACUGCCCACGUAGAUUCUCGCAGUAAGCGUUCUCUGAGUUUACAAUUAUCAUCUGACCACAUUGCCCAUAUAGAUUCUGACAACAAUCACUCAGUGACUUCACAUUCAUCACCAAAUCGUACUACUACCCAUAUAGAUGUUUACAGGAACCGUUCUGUAACUCCACAUUCUCUAUUUAGCCAUACUACCCAUGUAAAUUCUCGCAGUAAGCGCUUUCUAAGUCCACAUUCAUCACCCAAUCGCAUGACUCAGAAGGAUUAUCACACCAAUCGCUCAGUGACUCCACAUUCUUCACCUGCCCGCACUUCCUAACUAGAUUCUCAUAGUAAUCGCUCUUUGAAUUCACAUUCAUCACAGGACCGCAUUGCCCAAAUAGAUUCUCAAAGCCGUUGCUCAGAAACUCAACAAUCGUCAACAAACCGUAUUGCUCAUGCAGCGUCUCACAUUAACCGUUCUUUCUCUCUUUUAUUUGUUCAACGUAAAUACCAAACAUCACACUAUUACUCUAAUAAGCAUUCCACUCAUUCAUCUGUACAAACAAAACAUAUAAGUGAUUUAGACUCUCACCAUAAUCACAAACGAUCUAUUUGUCAUGACAAAUUCUCUGCACACGACCACCAGUUAUGCGGAAGUGAUUUAAAAACUUGUAUCCACAAAAAUACGAACAAUAUUUCACGUCCGUUACAAUGUACAAUAUCAUCAAAAAAUUCAUUAAACGAUGAUCUGUUUCUAAUUCGAAGCGAUAUUUGGUAUGAAGAAUAUAUAAGUUUAAAGAUACACAUACAUACAUA